AGAUUGAACGCUGGCGGCAUGCCUAACACAUGCAAGUCGAACGGGAGUAGCAAUACUCUAGUGGCGGACGGGUGAGGAAUACGUAGGAAUUUGCCCUUAAGUGGGGGAUAACCCGCGGAAACCCGGAUUAAUACCGCAUGACCUCGAAAGAGCAAAGUGGGGAUCGCAAGACCUCACGCUUUUGGAGAAGCCUACGUCGGAUUAGCUAGUUGGUGAGGUAAUGGCUCACCAAGGCGACGAUCCGUAACUGGUCUGAGAGGAUGAUCAGUCACACCGGAAUGACGACACGGUCCGGACUCUACGGGAGCGACGCAGUGGGGAAUAUUGGAACGAAGU
rnacentral:rRNA from 1 species